AUACGUAGGGGGCAAGCGUUAUCCGGAAUCAUUGGGCGUAAAGGGUGCGUAGGCGGCCCUAUAGGUCAGAGGUCAAAGGCUACGGCUCAACCGUAGUAAGCCUUUGAAACUGUAGGGCUUGAGUGCAGGAGAGGAGAGUGGAAUUCCUAGUGUAGCGGUGAAAUGCGUAGAUAUUAGGAGGAACACCAGUGGCGAAGGCGACUCUCUGGACUGCAACUGACGCUGAGGCACGAAAGCGUGGGUAGCGAACAGGAUUAGAUACCCUGGUAGUCCACGCCGUAAACGAUGAGUGCUAGGUGUCGGGGGUCGAACCUCGGUGCCGCAGUUAACGCAUUAAGCACUCCGCCUGGGGAGUACGUACGCAAGUAUGAA
rnacentral:rRNA from 1 species